rnacentral:rRNA from 1 species
CAGCAGCCGCGGGAAUACGAAGGGGGCUAGCGUUGUUCGGAAUUACUGGGCGUAAAGCGCACGUAGGCGGAUAUUUAAGUCAGGGGUGAAAUCCCGCAGCUCAACUGCGGAACUGCCUUUGAUACUGGGUAUCUUGAGUAUGGAAGAGGUUAGUGGAAUUGCGAGUGUAGAGGUGAAAUUCGUAGAUAUUCGCAGGAACACCAGUGGCGAAGGCGGCUAACUGGUCCAUAACUGACGCUGAGGUGCGAAAGCGUGGGGAGCAAACAGGAUUAGAUACCCGAGUAGUCCCUGUCUCUUAUAC